AUUGAACGCUGGCGGAAUGCUUAACACAUGCAAGUCGAGCGGGGUGUAGCAAUACACCUAGCGGCGGACGGGUGAGGAAUACAUAGGAAUCUGCCUCAGAGCGGGGGACGAGCCCGGGGAACCCGGGAUUAAUACCGCAUGAUGUCGCAAGACCAAAGUGGGGGACCGGCAAGGCCCCACACUCUGAGAUGAGCCUAUGUCCGAUUAGCUAGUUGGCGGGGUAAUAGCCCACCAAGGCGACGAUCGGUAGCUGGUCUGAGAGGACGAUCAGCCACACCGGAACUGAGACACGGUCCGGACUCCUACGGGAGGCAGCAGUGGGGAAUACUUGGACAAUGGGCGCAAGCCUGAUCCAGCAAUUCCGCGUGGGUGAAGAAGGCCUGUGUAA
rnacentral:rRNA from 1 species